ensembl:lncRNA
GGACAAAGACACAACAUCCAUCAUGUGACUUCUCUCUCCGUCAGCAGAAUUGAAGCUCUGAAUGCUUCUGUUUUAACACAGAAGAAGAGGACAUGAUGAUGCAGGACCGACACCUAGCCCCGCCCACUGGACUGUGAUCGGCCAAAUGUUUUCCAUUGACAACCAGAGAAAUCUUGUAUUUUGUAUUUUUUUUACCUGGAAUUGUUUGUUUUAAGUGAAACAUUUCAUAAUUUAAAAUGUAACAACUUUUUUCCUGUUUGGUUUACUUUUGAAGUUAAACAAAAAUAUAAUAAUACAAUUAAAUUAUAAACAAAAGUGUAGAAUAACAUGAUUACUUUUUC